UUAUAGUAAACUUUUAAUCUACUACAAGUUUUAUUUGACAAGUAAGUGAAUUUCAGCUGUCAAGUCUUCACAUGAAAAAGCAUCUACUCAAAUGGAAUUCCCGGAAAUCCAUUUGGAACCCUGUUCUCUGACAUUGCCCACAAGGUGAAAUGACUACAACACACCCCUAGAAACCAAUGAUGUGACCUGGCACGACCUGAAGAAACAGAUUCACAGACUCCAAAGCUCACUCUCUACAGAAAAGUGGAAUUCCAGUGGCUGACAUUCCCCAUCGAGACAGAUGUGCAGCGUUUCAUCCCCUGGCAUUUUCUUUCGUGGUCAUCUACUUUGGACUGACACUUCCAUCUGACUUACUGGUACAAGCUGCUGUGUUUCUCAAAGACUAACUUCAGCCAGUUGCCUUGGGACUUUAUAGCCUGUGCCCCCUCGCCUGCAGGCUCUGUUCACAGAGGCAGAAAACUCCCCUUCCUUACUAGGUCAUGCCCACAGAGGCAGGAAACGCCCUUUGAGGCAAGAGAUGUCCACAGAGGCAUGAAGCGCCCCCAGAGGUAACAGAUGCCCCCAGAGGCAAGAAAUGCCCUUUAGCCUGCUAGGCCUUUCCCUUUGAGGCAGGAAAUACUCCCCUUGGCAUCACACUGGUUCUUGCUGCUCUCCUAUUUUGUUUUCCAUGUCUUAUGCCAGUUCUUUUGAAAAUGCCUGUAUGAUAUAGGUUUCUGUUCACCCCUACACUGCUAUUCCCCUGACAGGGAUGAAGCCUUUUACAGACAUUGACCCAGUUAUAUAUGGCCAUAAAGUAAGAGGGAGAUGUUGGGGAAUUGUGAGGAUGUGGUUGAGCUUGGAAGGGCUUGAGCUUGAGGGGUGUGUCAAUCCUGUUAGUCUCUCUCUCUACGGAGAGGUUGAGCAAGGAGGGACAGUAGAACCCCAAAAGGUGUGCCUCUUAUCAGUCUCCCUGCCUCACAAAGUGCCCCACAAUCCUGAUACUAUGGCAAAUAGUUAAAAAGAAAGGGGGAGAUGUUGGUAUGCCUGUAUAGGGAUUGGUUUGAUCCCAUUCAAAGUGGUCUAUUUACAUAAAUCAUUUCUACAUUUACAUAAAGCACCACACUCCCUCCAGGGCAUUAGUGGUUCAGUGGUAGAAUUCUCACCUGCUCUACCCCCUCUCCUUGUCACACCCUGAUUUUCACCAGUCACUUUUCUCUCCACCCUCUGUAUGUCACAUCUUGUUUACACCCUACUUGGAAAGUAUGUAAGGACAACAUUGUUCGUUUUAGUUAGUUGGUAGUUGUGUUAGUUUUAGUCUAGCUCGGCUUAGAUUGUGCUGCAUCCUGCAUGAAUAAAGAGAUACUGCGUACAGCUCAA